UUUCUUGGCUAAGCUCGUUGUGACUCCAGAAUGCAAUCUGGAUGUCGCGAUCCGUUUCCUCUUUGAGAAGGCAAAUGAAGGGAGUUGGCUGCCUGACGAGGGAGAAGAAAAAUUGAAAGCCAAGGUAAAGGCAGCAAGGUACCUGAUAGCAAUCAUAAUGAAGGUCUGUGAUCCAAAGAGGCUGAUGUACUGGUACGAUUUGUUAGCUUUUACCUAUAUGGCAAUUUGGCACAAACAGCCCCGCCAAUCUGAGGAAUAUGCCAUCAAAAACGUUGACAUCUACAUAACACCAGGAGAAAUAGCACACAUUAUGAGAGUUAUGAAAGAAAUGCAACAGGACUACAUGAGCCAGAUGUUGCCAGAUGUUGCAGACUGAACCAGAUGUUUCUUUUGUCCAAGCUAUACUGUACUGUGCAAUUUUUGACUGUGCUGCUACAAUUUGUGUGAACUUGCUGUGUCUGGUGAAUGAGGCCGAUGCCAUCACAACAGCCCCCAAAGGUGGACUGAGACACGAUGGAAGCUUCAGCUAGUUGGAAGAGACAGUUCUGGGUGGAGUCUCCUUCUUUGGAGAUCUUCAAGCAGAGGCUGGGUGGCCAUCUGCCGGGGAUGCUUUGUUUGUGAUCUCCUGCAUGGCAGAGUGGGGUUGGACUGGAUGGCCCUUGGUGUCUCUUCCAACUCUAGGAUUCUGUGAAAGGAAGGAUGCAGCCUAGAAAGGCCGAUUGCUUCCUUCUCUCCCGCACUUAGCUGGCUAGAUAUUUUGGCUGUUGGACUAGGAAGGCAGAGAGCAAAGCAGUGCCAUUAAUGAGCCUGUUUGUCCUGGGUUUUUGUAGAUCAAUGUAGUAGACCCUCCUUUCCAUAUUUGUGGGGGUUAAUGACGAAAGACCCCCCACCACCAAUAUGGAAAAAUCUCUAAUAACCCCUCCAUCUAUGAGAGGGCCCAUGCGGGUCCCCUCCAGACCCCUGUCAUGCCCGGAUAACCCAAUCUGGGCAUGUCAGGGGUGGAGAAAGACCUCCCCGGGUCCCUAUGGACCCUUGCCAUUCUUUAAUUCCCAAAUUUUCAGUAACCACACAUCAAUAGUCGGUAUAUGUUUUGUUCUGGCAGCUGUUACUGAGCAUAGAGAGAAUACCUGUUCUCUCCUAGCUUAUAUAUUUUAGCUAAUCUUGCAAUACCAUCUCUUACUAAAAAUUAAAUAAGUUUCUUUAAGCAUUCUCCCAGUUUCCCAUCGAUAUGGUAUGUUCUAUUCCUGUACCAAAUCCCAAAAUCAGUUCAGCAAGAAACAUGGCCUGCAAUAAACUUUUCCUUUCUCUUUAAAUAAAGUAUUCAUAUUACUACCUUCAUCUGCAAGACGAACAGAGCCAAACAGAUGCCACCAGAACUUCUGCCUCGCUCUACACUUUCCCAGCUCAACAGUCAGAUUGUCUGACUAACUCAGCGCAGGAAAGAAGCGAGGAAUGGGCUUUUCUAGGUCACAUUUUUUUUCUCAUAGAAUCCUAGAGUUUAGAGAGGCGCCAAUGGCCAUCCAGUCCAACCUCGUUCUGCCAUGCAAGAAUUCACAACCAAAGCAUCCCUAACAAACGGCCAUCCAGCCUCUGUGUGAAUACCUCCAAAGAAGGAGACUCCACCCCACCAGCUGUGGAAAUAGUUGGAUGUCAUAAUGCCAACAUGCAGAACACUUUCUCCUCUAGAAGCCCUAAUCGCUUUGAAACCAGGCAUGUGUUUUUAAUUUAAAUAUCAUAUUUGUAAUGCAUUAAUGUA